AACGUAGGGAACCUGCCCAUGCGGCCGGGACAACUUCCGGAAACGGAUGCUGAUACCGGAUAAGGAAAGCGAAGGCAUCUUUGCUUUGUUAAAGGAGCUGCAAGGCUCCGCGCAUGGAUGGACCUGCGGUGCAUUAGCUGGUUGGUGAGGUAAAGGCUCACCAAGGCGACGAUGCAUAGCCGGCCUGAGAGGGCGAACGGCCACACUGGGACUGAGACACGGCCCAGACUCCUACGGGAGGCAGCAG
rnacentral:rRNA from 1 species